GACGAACGCUGGCGGCGUGCUUAACACAUGCAAGUCGAACGAUGAACCGGGUGCUUGCACCUGGGGAUUAGUGGCGAACGGGUGAGUAACACGUGAGUAACCUGCCCUGGACUCUGGGAUAACCCCGAGAAAUCGGAGCUAAUACCGGAUAGGACCUUUCCUCGCAUGAGGUUUGGUGGAAAGUUUUUCGGUCUGGGAUGGACUCGCGGCCUAUCAGCUUGUUGGUGAGGUAAUGGCUCACCAAGGCGUCGACGGGUAGCCGGCCUGAGCGGGCGACCGGCCACACUGGGACUGAGACACGGCCCAGACUCCUACGGGAGGCAGCAGUGGGGAAUAUUGCACAAUGGGCGCAAGCCUGACGCAGCAACGCCGCGUGCGGGAUGACGGCCUUCGGGUUGUAAACCGCUUUUAGUAGGGAAGAAGGGCUUCGGCUUGACGGUACCUGCAGAAAAAGGACCGGCUAACUACGUGCCAGCCGCCGCCGUAAGAC
rnacentral:rRNA from 1 species